rnacentral:misc_RNA from 1 species
GCAUUGCCUGGGCAGGGGGGG